rnacentral:rRNA from 1 species
UACGGAGGGGGCAAGCGUUGUUCGGAAUUACUGGGCGUAAAGGGCGCGCAGGCGGCUGCUCAAGUCAGGCGUGAAAGGCCUGGGCUCAACCCGGGAAUUGCGCUUGAGACUAGGCUGGCUUGAGUGCGGGAGAGGAUGGUGGAAUUCCCAGUGUAGAGGUGAAAUUCGUAGAUAUUGGGAAGAACACCGGUGGCGAAGGCGGCCAUCUGGACCGCAACUGACGCUGAGGCGCGAAAGCGUGGGGAGCAAACAGG